rnacentral:tRNA from 1 species
GAGUAUCUAGUUUAACUUUUAUAAAACACUAGACUGUCAAACUAGAGAUGCUUUAAAUAUAAAGUGAUUCUCA